UGUUUGAUCCUGGCUCAGGACGAACGCUGGCGGCGUGCCUAACACAUGCAAGUCGGACGGGCAUCAGGUGGAAGCUUGCUGAAGCCUGAUGUUAGUGGCGGACGGGUGAGUGAUGCGUGAGGACCUAUCCGGAGGAGGGGGACAACAGUUGGAAACGACUGCUAAGACCCCAUAAGCCGAGGGGUGAAAGGGAGCGAUCCGCUUCCGGAGGGACUCGCGGGCUAUCAGCUUGUUGGUGGGGUAAGGGCCUACCAAGGCGAAGACGGCAAGCCGGCCUGAGAGGGCGACCGGCACACUGGAACUGAGAUACGGUCCAGACUCCUACGGGAGGCAGCAGUGGGGAAUAUUGGGCAAUGGGGGAAACCCUGACCCAGCGACGCCGCGUGGAGGAAGAAGUCCCUCGGGAUGUAAACUCCUGUUGUGUGGGAAGAAGCGAGUGACCGUACCACACGAGGAGCCCCGCAAAUCUG
rnacentral:rRNA from 1 species